GCACUGGUGGUUCAGUGGUAGAAUUUUCACCUUCCACGUGGAAACCUGGGUUCAAUUCCUAGCCAAUGCA
rnacentral:tRNA from 1 species